rnacentral:rRNA from 1 species
UACGUAGGUGGCAAGCGUUGUCCGGAUUUACUGGGCGUAAAGGGCGUGCAGGCGGUUUGUUAAGUGCAGGGUGAAAGCUCCCGGCUCAACUGGGAGAGGUCCUUGCAUACUGGCGAACUCGAGGGAGGCAGAGGAAAGUGGAAUUCCCGGUGUAGUGGUGAAAUGCGUAGAUAUCGGGAGGAACACCAGUGGCGAAGGCGACUUCCUGGCCUGUUCUUGACGCUGAGGCGCGAAAGCUAGGGUAGCAAACGGG